UCUUGGUGGUGAUGUCUUCAUCCUGCAGGAUCAUCCUCGCCCCACUGCCUUGUCGCCACUCUGCAGGGACAGCAGUUGCAUCUCAGAGAGGCCCUCGGCCCCUCCCAUGGGGAUCCUGAGGCCCCCUGCACAGGCACCUACACGGCCCCAUCUCAGGGGUGCAUCCACAGACAGGUGCUAGCAGACACUCCCAGAGGAGUGGGGGGCAGCUCUCAGCACAGGGGGGCCCUGAAGUUCGGUUCUGGUUCUCAUCGCAACAAACUGUGACAGAAGUGGGACUCACAUCGCCUGUCCUCACCUGCCCACCUGUUCCCGGUGAGUGGCCACAUAGAAAGCAGUCAGUGCUAAUUAGCUGAAUGAACAAGGCACUUAAGAAAGUGCUAAGCAAAUACAAGGUGGCGUCAUCACUGCCAUGCCUGGGAGCUGGUCUGUGUCUCCUCUGCUUGAUCAUAAGGGCGUGGAGUUCAUGAGACCAAGGCUGCAGAUUCAGUCACUGUGCACCCUAUUCCUGUUCCAGGGGUGUGUCUUGCACCCAAAAUUGGCAGGCGGGCCACCCUUGGCAGAGAGACUGAGUAAAAGUGUGUGGAGAGACCAGCAAAACCUCAGCCCUGUCCAUGCAAAGCUGAUGUGCAUAACAGCAUCUUGCUGAUCUAUCCAACACCUAAUUACCUGAUGCCGCAGGUACACGCUUACACCCCACGUUCUCCCCUUGGGCCCAGACACCUACAACACGCAGGCUCGCUGAUGGUUCCCACAUGGGGAAACCGGGCUGUUUCUCAUCCACCAAAUCCUCAUCGUCACACAUGGUACAAAUCACACGGAGAUGGAGACACGCGCAUUUCUGCCUUGACAUGUUCGCACGUGGAGACCCAGGUGCACGCCAGACACGCUCCAGCUCUCGUGCCCGGGCACAGCCACAUCCACACACGCACACACACGCGAAAGGAAAACCGGCCUUUUAAAUUCAAACGCAACAUGUGUUCCUGCCAGGAAGCCAGGGAUCUGGCUUCCAGGCAGCCACGACCUCAGUCAACGUCUUACAGAUGCUGAAACUUCUGAGAUGGGCAAGAGCACCGGGCUUCUGCAGAGCGUGGCUGGGUGCUGGGAGCAGUUACCCACAGUCCUUGCCUGACUCCGCCUGGGAGUUUCCCUGUGGCCCACAGACACAUAUUUCAGAUUCCUUCCCCCUGCUCAUCCUCGUGUCAAAGCUGAGCUGCGGGCCCAGGACUGAUUCCUCCCUGCCCUGUGCACUGGGCAUGGCCAGUACUACAGGUGAAAAUCAGGCCCAGAAAGGAAGCCACCUGCCCUCAGGGGGGUGGCUAACAUCCACGUCUCUGCCUCCAGCUCCGGGGCUUGUCUGCUGCCUGGGCCAGUGCUCCUGGUAGCAUCGGGCUGUCCCAGGAAUGAAGACACAAGGACGCGCGUGCUCACUGCAGCGGAGGGGGCCUUGAGAGGUCUCUGGGGACCGCCUGUCACUUAGUGCUGAUGAUGGCCCGGCUGGAACUGAUCCUGGAGGUCAGGCCUCGGGCAGGUAGCGAGGAAGACGACAGGUGAGAUGUUCUCCUGGGGCACCUGGUCAGCAGUGUUUUGUUUGUUGUGGGUUUUUCGUUUGUUUUCGAUUUUAUGUAGGCACCUACGAAUGUCUGUUUUUUGAGUGGCUGGUGCAAAAUAAGCGGAAUGUCUCCCCGCUGGUCAGGCAGCGAGUAUGCAGUGCAGCAGACGCUGGUGAAGACCAGCCUGGGACAGCGCCACAGCAGCCACGUGCCUUGUCCCGGUCCCAUAGUGGGUCCUGAAAGAUAAAGCCUCCUGGCUCUCCCCUGCUGGCCUGGUGAAUGGUGCCAGGGCCAUGGCUGUUGGGGGGUACAGUAGAGACAGCUUGGGGGCACAGAAGGCAGUCCUGUGCUCUGCAUGCCCUGAUGGGAGCCAGAGGAGAAGCAGGGAACGGGCUCUGGACACCAAGCCUACUGACCAGGCCCGAGGGAGAAGGGAGUCUCCUUCAGUGAAGAGUCCAUGGGGCUGGUUAGGAUUAGAUGGAGGAGGUAGCAGCUGAAGGCCAGCUUUCUGGUUUAGCAGCUGCCCUGGCACCCUUGCUGAUGGCAUUGUAGCACCUCUCAGGAGGAGUCUAACAAGCCACACAGCCUGGUGGCCUGAACCACCUGUCGUUACACCUGGUGACUCAUUCUGGAGCCAGAUACAGGAAUUCCCGGUUACACAACUGCCCUGAAGUUGUGCAGUGCGCAGCCUGUGUGGCCAGACUCAGCAGCCCUGGCUCAGAGUCAUGUCCAGUAGUUAUGUAAGCAAAUGAAAGUCAAUCUGCCUCUCUGCCCUGGACAGAAGAAAGUAGGGCAGAGUGUGGCCAUGCUUCCCCCAGGGCAGUCAAGGAAUGCUGGCUUGUCCUUGGGAGUAUAAAAAUGCUGCUGCUAGAUGUCCACCAGCAGGGCCAGCCCAGCACCCGGGAUGCAGCAAGUACUUGACGCGUAUUUAUUAAAGGAAUGAUACAUAAGUGAAUGAGUGAAUGAAUGAAGGAAGGAGAAGGGUGAGUGAGGAACGGUGGCUUAUUUUCCAAGCAGUGAGAGAACUUUCCACCUGGGUGCUGGUGCUCCGCAGUGGGCAGGCCGCAAGCGGCAGUGAGAGGUGAGCUGUGAGCCACUGUGUCAGAACCUGGGACAAAGGAAGGUCUGAACUCCAGAGGCACAACUCGGCAUGUCCACUGCCAGCUCUCUGAAGUUAUCACUCAUUCUUCCAAUUUGAAAGCUGGGAAAUUAAAGAAACAGGCUGGGAAGAUGGAUAUGGAGGUCGCCAUCCCCAGGUCACUGUGCACUCUCCUCACCAACUGAGUUCUCUUCUGCGGCCCCUGAACGGGCUCCUCUUUUGGGCAGGGCACUGGACUCGGCACUUGGCUACAAAGAUACAUCAGAGGAGUCCCUGCAUUCCGGGAGUUCUUGGCAGGGAAGGCAGAUGUGGGCACAACUCAGAGCUCCAUGGCACAGUGCCCACCAUGUCCGCGAGUCACCCAAGUGCCAGGAGCAUCAGGGAGGGACAGUGAUGGCUGGACUGGAACCUGGGCUGUGGCCACACUGUGAUGCUGGCAGGUAGCUGCCUCCCUUCCACUUCAUACUUUGAGCUCCAGGAAUCCAAGAGGGCCACAGCACUUACCUUCCACAAAAUCAAACUGUGCUGAUGGGGUGGUCGCCUGCCUACCCCACCGGCUGAACCUCGCGGGCAGCGGUGAUGUGCAGUGGACAGCAGGACGGUCAGCGCUCAGUCACACGUUCAGGGACUGUAAGAGGUUUCCUGGUGUCUCAGUCCUACAGUCCUUUCAGCCCAGGCCCUGCCUCCAAAGUGGUGCCAGCGGGCAGCAGGGAGGCAGCAACUGUUGUCUUUUUUGGCAACUAUCUCAAGAAGUCAAGAACGUUCCUCCAAAUUCCAAUAUGAGGAUAGUGAGCUGGAGUCGAGGAGGAGAACGCUUAGCCCUGUUUUUAGAUUUCUCAAGCCUGUUAUUUUUGUUACUUCUUCUACAAGAAAAUUGCUAUGUGCUUUUUUUUUUUUUGAAAUGCCAGAAAGGUAAAAAAGUGAAAUUCAAUGUCCCAUCCCCAAACAAGUCCUGAUGAAUGAACGUCCAGAGAGAUGGGAGCUGGGUGUUGGGAGCGCCAUCCCCGGGACAUGCAGGAAAGAGGCAAGGCCACGGGCAGCCUGCCCAGCUGACCCAGAAGGGGAGAGUGUGGAUGCAGCAUCUGGGCAGGGAUGCCCCAGCGCGGAGUGGUUUAAGGGAGCUGGUGCAGAAACGCAUCCCCAAACCUCGCUCUUCUCUGCCCAGGGCUCUUAACCUCACCUGUGGCCUGAACACACUUCAUGUCCAUGUUACCUGCUCUCCUUCUUUUCCUGACCCCCCAUCCAGCCCAGCCAGGGCCUCUGUUUCCCCCAGACUCAUCAUGGGAUGUCUGAAGACAAACACCAGAACAGCGAGGUGGGCUGGGCUCUCGGGAGCGCCCUUGUGCUAACUCAUGACUUCUCUUGACAGAGGUGUGAGCCGUGGAGCUCAGCCUGGGACCGGGAAAGGUCAAGGUCGAAGGCCAAAGCUACUAGCUUCUCUCUGUCCCAGGAACAGUCCAGCCCCGACACUGCACGGCUGGCUUUAUGAACCCUCAUCCCUACCCAGCGGUAAAGAACCCCAAGAGCAGGUUGGACCAGCUGAGGGCGAGGCAGGCCCGCCACCUUCGGAUCUGGUGCCCUCGGCGGCGUGUGCGGCUCUCAGGUCAGGAGGCCCCCCGAGCGAAGGCACAUCUAAUUCUGUGCUCUGGGUAUUGCUGCAUAUUCAUCAUACGCUUAGUUUUAAUGCCAGUAAUGCAAAUCAGUAGAACCCAGGUCUCCUCAUCCCAAGUUCGGCGUUCUCAUCACCAGAUAGGCGCCUUCUGUCUUGCCUAUAAAAACAGCACUAAAAAUAUCUCUCUUUUGUGUCCGCCCUUUGUUACACACGAGGUGACCCCAUUAGAAUGGCCAAGGGGCAACGUGACAGCUUGGCCAGUGGCCAGCGUCCUCCGGGUGAAUGCCCAGCCUCUUCGACACAGUGAGAGACUGGAAAAUGCUUCAAGUCACCAAAUGACCUGAGGUACUGAGCUUGGUGACAGCCCUAGUGAAACGUGGGACAGUGACCCCUCAGCAUGCUUGCAGCCACCAUGUUGAAAAUCCAGACCCAGAAAGACACAGAGCUCCACUGUCACUCAUUCAAAACUGUUUCCCGAGUGCCCACAGUGUGCCAGGCACUGCGCCAGCAGGACAUCAGACAACUAAACAAGGAAACUUAGCAAAACAAAAGCCCUGGCCCCUGCAGGGCUCUCUCUGUGGAAGGUGUGUGAGAGAACAAAGGAUCAUGGGCCCAGCUGAUGGAGCCAGAGGACAGAGAGGGCAAGGGGCGGGGGGAAGGGCGGGUUCUGGUUCCAAGGGGCCACUUCUGUGACACUUCUAGGGAUCCGUGAGGAUGAGUCCUUGGGGGAGACAGUGGGAGGGAGAGGUUGGAGAGACACACACAAGUUAGGAACUGAGUUAAGAAAGGUCUGGAAUACCAUGCUUAGGCAUUUGGGGUUGGGCUGAGAACACGGAGACUGGGUGGAUGAGAAGAGGAGGAGGAGCCCCGACAAAGACCGCUGCCCUUGGCCAUGGCAGAAAGGGAGGGUCUGGCCUAAGGCAGUGGGGAUGGAGGUGUAGAUUUACAGAUCGGGAUAGGCUGGAUGGUGCUUGGAGAUUCUCAGGGAAGAGGAGGUGGGAGCACCAUGGUGUGCCCCAAAGUUUGAGAGAGGGUGUCUGGGAGAACAAUUGAGAAGCUGGGGCAUAGAAGAGGGAGGAAGUUCAUCUGCAGACCAACCCUGGAAGAAACACUAGCACCCAGCACAUCGUUGGCCUGGCUCCUGGAGGGUCCCCUACCCACCAGCAGGUGCCACACUAGGAGGCAAACCCUCCCUGGGGAGCACGACCCCUCACUAGCUCUGGCCUCCAGGGUGGGUGCACGGGCACACAUAUGUGAGCAUGCAUACACACGCACAGACAUACGCGCUCACACAAGUUCCUCAUGUUAUCCCAGGCGGGGACUCUAAAGGUUUUUCAACAACCGCCCCUCAUCCAUGCACCCCACUUCCCCAGUCCAGUCUUUCUGUCAGCAUCUCUCAGACCCAUCCCAGGAAGCUUUAGGAGGGGCUGACUUGGAGGGGUGAGGGAGGAAGGAGAACUGAAUGAGUCAACCCUCCUGAUCCACGAGGUGCCCACUGCCCAGCCAGCUGCCUGCCCCCCACUCCCCAGCCCAGGCCACCUUUCCUCCCCGCGGGGCUCCGAGCAGGUUCCCACCAGCAGCACACCCCACUGUGUGGGGCCCACUCUACUUCUCAAACCGGGGUCCCGAGCAGAGGGCUGGAGGAGGAGAUACAACUCUACCGCUGCACACCUGUCCACAGUGAGCCCCCAAGGAGACACCUGGCAGAGAGCCAGACACCCUCGGCACCUAGCUGCUCCCAAGCGUGGAAUCAGCGGCAGAGAAGUGCAGGGAGAAGCCAGGACAGAAUCAGUGUCACAGCAAACAAGGUGCUAGGUCUUUGCAAACUGUAAAGUGCGGUACACCGGCUUGUUGUCGCUAUUCGGAGGUGUCUGGAGAGCUAAAGGAAGAGGCAGGCUGCAUUCUGCCACUCGAUUUCAGAGAGGUGCAGCGGAAAAUGCAAACUGGGGCGACAGCUGCUGUGAACUCUUUAUAUUUCACUUGGAAGAUAGUGUAUCUUUUUAUUGCAUACAGGAAUUACUUAUUUGAAAAAAUAUACCCUUUCAGUGCGACCUGAACAGCAAGACAGGGCGGAGGGCGGGGGUCGGGGUGGAGG